AGCUCCAAUAGCGUAUAUUAAAGUUGCUGCAGUUAAAAAGCUCGUAGUUGGAUCUCGGGUGCAGGCUUGCGGUCCGCCUCGCGGCGGUCACUGCUCGUCCUGACCUCCACGCCGGUUGUCCGCGCCUUGGUGCUCUUGAUUGAGUGUCUCGGCCGGCCGGAACGUUUACUUUGAAGAAAUUAGAGUGCUCAAAGCAGGCCACUGCCGCCUGAAUAAUGGUGCAUGGAAUAAUGGAAUAGGACCUCGGUUCUAUUUUGCUGGUUUUCGGAGCUCGAGGUAAUGAUUAAUAGGGACAGACGGGGGCAUUCGUAUUGCGGCGCUAGAGGUGAAAUUCUUGGACCGUCGCAAGACGAACUACAGCGAUAGCAUUUGCCAAGCAUGCUUUCAUUA
rnacentral:rRNA from 1 species